AACUCAGGAUCACUCGUGUUACACUGCAAUCGCGUGUCGCCCUUAGAGUUUGAUCCUGGCUCAGGACGAACGCUGGCGGCGCGCUUAACACAUGCAAGUCGAGCGAGAACCAGGACUUCGGUCCUGGGGACAGCGGCGAACGGGUGAGUAACACGUGAGUAAUCCACCCUCGGUACCGGAAUAGCCCGGGGAAACCCGGAUUAAUGCCGGAUGGCCCAACAGCUCUUCGGGGCGGUUGGAAAAGAUAGCUUCGGCCUUCGACCGAGGACGAGCUCGCGGCGGAUUAGCUUGUUGGUGGGGUAAUGGCCUACCAAGGCGACGAUCCGUAGCUGGUCUGAGAGGACGAUCAGCCACACUGGGACUGAGACACGGCCCAGACUCCUACGGGAGGCAGCAGUGGGGAAUCUUGCGCAAUGGGCGAAAGCCUGACGCAGCGACGCCGCGUGCGGGAAGAAGGCCUUAGGGUUGUAAACCGCUUUCAGGAGGGACGAAGCCACUCGGGUUAAUAGCCCAGAGGGUGACGGUACCUUCAGAAGAAGCCCCGGCUAACUACGUGCCAGCAGCCGCGGUAAUACGUAGGGGGCAAGCGUUGUCCGGAUUUAUUGGGCGUAAAGAGCGUGUAGGCGGUUUGGUAGGUCUGCUGUGAAAACUCGAGGCUCAACCUCGAGACGCCGGCGGAAACCCCCAAGCUAGAGUCCGGAAGAGGAGAGUGGAAUUCCUGGUGUAGCGGUGAAAUGCGCAGAUAUCAGGAAGAACACCCGUGGCGAAGGCGGCUCUCUGGGACGGUACUGACGCUGAGACGCGAAAGCGUGGGGAGCGAACAGGAUUAGAUACCCUGGUAGUCCACGCCGUAAACGAUGAGUGCUAGGUGUGGGGGGUGUCGACUCCCCCCGUGCCGAAGCUAACGCAUUAAGCACUCCGCCUGGGGAGUACGGCCGCAAGGCUAAAACUCAAAGGAAUUGACGGGGCCCGCACAAGCAGCGGAGCAUGUGGUUUAAUUCGACGCAACGCGAAGAACCUUACCUGGGCUUGACAUGCACGGGAAUGUCGUAGAAAUACGGCAGCCCUUCGGGGCUCGUGCACAGGUGGUGCAUGGCUGUCGUCAGCUCGUGUCGUGAGAUGUUGGGUUAAGUCCCGCAACGAGCGCAACCCCUGUCCUUAGUUGCCAGCGAGUAAUGUCGGGGACUCUAGGGAGACUGCCGGUGACAAAUCGGAGGAAGGUGGGGAUGACGUCAAGUCAUCAUGCCCCUUAUGUCCAGGGCUACACACGUGCUACAUUGGCCAGUACAAAGGGCUGCAAACCCGCGAGGGGGAGCGAAUCCCAAAAAGCCGGUCCCGGUUCGGAUUGGAGGCUGAAACUCGCCUCCAUGAAGGCGGAGUUGCUAGUAAUCGCGGAUCAGCAAUGCCGCGGUGAAUACGUUCCCGGGCCUUGUACACACCGCCCGUCACACCACGAAAGUUGGCAAUACCCGAAGCCGGUGGCCUAACCUCUUUGGAGGAGGGAGCCGUCGAAGGUAGGGUCGAUGAUUGGGGUGAAGUCGUAACAAGGUAACCAAGGGCGACACGCGAUUGCGAGUC
rnacentral:rRNA from 1 species